ACCCGGUUAGCUCAGUCGGAAGAGCAUUAGACUUUUACGAAAGUAAAGAUCUAUCUAAGGGUCGCGAGUUCGAGCCUCGCAUCGGGUG